rnacentral:rRNA from 1 species
UGGGGAAUAUUGCACAAUGGGCGCAAGCCUGAUGCAGCGACGCCGCGUGGGGGAUGACGGCCUUCGGGUUGUAAACCUCUUUCAGUCACGACGAAGCGCAAGUGACGGUAGUGACAGAAGAAGCACCGGCCAACUACGUGCCAGCAGCCGCGGUAAUACGUAGGGUGCGAGCGUUGUCCGGAAUUACUGGGCGUAAAGGGCUUGUAGGUGGUUUGUCGCGUUGUUCGUGAAAUGCCACAGCUUAACUGUGGGCGUGCGGGCGAUACGGGCAGACUGGAGUACUGCAGGGGAGACUGGAAUUCCUGGUGUAGCGGUGGAAUGCGCAGAUAUCAGGAGGAACACCGGUGGCGAAGGCGGGUCUCUGGGCAGUAACUGACGCUGAGGAGCGAGAGCGUGGGGAGCGAACA